rnacentral:sRNA from 1 species
CAGGAAGACAAGUGUCCUGCUCUGUGUCAUCUUUGGGCUUUAUAAACCAUGUUCCCGUCUGUUGUCUCAUUUGAAUGUCAGGAAAACCUUGUGAAAUAUUUGUUAUUUUUCAUGUUUUACAUGUGAGGAAUUGGAGGCUUAGAGAAGUUGACCAAGUAUCCAAGACAUACUCAAGUGAGGAGUCUCAGAGUAACAUCUUGAACCCAGAUCUCCUGUCUCCAAAUUUUGUGCUCAUUCCACUAUUUCACAUUAAAACCUGAAGAUCUCCCUGCUCUUUUCAUCUUAAAGUAAUUUCAGCUUUUUGUGUGUGGCUCUGCAAGCCACAGAGCAGCAGCAGCUUUUGAGGAUAAGAAGCAGUUUCUUUUAAGAAGCAGUAUGAUUCUUACCUGCAUGUUGGAACAGGAUUCUAGGAGAAUGAACCCUAGUGUGAGCCCUGCAAAUCAAAGGAGGCACCUUCUAGGAUUUUCUGCUAAAGAGGCACAGGACACAUCAGAUGGUAUCAUCCAGAAAAACAGCUACAGAUAUGAUCAUUCUGUUUCAAAUGACAAAGCCCUGAUGGUGCUAACUGAAGAACCAUUGCUUUAUAUUCCUCCACCUCCUUGUCAGCCCCUAAUUAACACAACAGAGUCUCUCAGGUUAAAUCAUGAACUUCGAGGAUGGGUUCAUAGACAUGAAGUAGAAAGGACCAAGUCAAGAAGAAUGACAAAUAAUCAACAGAAAACCCAUAUUCUUCAGGGUGCUCUGGAACAGGGCUCAAAUUCUCAGCUGAUGGC